rnacentral:lncRNA from 1 species
UCCAGGGACAGCUGUUAUUGUCAGCACCCCCAGGGCUCAGACAGAGGGUUGCCUACAGUGACUUUCCUCCCUCGCCGGGUCUGUAGGAAACAGACUGGAGAAUGAAGGAUGGCUUUUAUGUAUAGGGCGGAUAGGGCAGCAACGGAAUGAUCUACCGGCUUCGGCUUCCUCUUUUAGAAACCUGAAGAAAAGUUUCCUAUACCUGGAAAUGGGGUUAUCGGAAAAUGGGAGCUGUCAGAGAAGACUGAGGACCUGUUUCAAUGUCAGCUCCUCCAUGUCUUCACUAUGCAGACAUCAAACAGCUGUUGAAUACCAAUUAAGGGAGAUGUUUCCAUUUGUGUGGUAGGACAUCUGGAUCAAACAUGCCUUGAGUAUAGAUGUACACCCAACUCUGGAAAGAAUCAGAAGUACGGUACAAGCUCUCUGGGGAAAGGACACCACAUCAAUAAAUAACAGAAGACUUACUUGGAGCCUUGGGCUCCUCAGCCAUGACACUGCAACUUACU